rnacentral:rRNA from 1 species
AACGCGAAGAACCUUACCAGGCCUUGACAUCCCGGUGACAGAGCAUGUAAUGUGCUUUCCCUUCGGGGCAGCGGAGACAGGUGAUGCAUGGUUGUCGUCAGCUCGUGUCGUGAGAUGUUGGGUUAAGUCCCGCAGCGAGCGCAACCCCUGUCCCCAGUAGCCAGCAGGUAAAGCUGGGCACUCUGGGGAGACUGCCGGGGACAACCCGGAGGAAGGCGGGGAUGACGUCAAAUCAUCAUGCCCCUUAUGGCCUGGGCUACACACGUGCUACAAUGGCGCAGACAGAGGGAGGCGAAGCCGCGAGGCGGAGCAAACCCCAGAAAUGGCGCCCCAGUUCGGACUGCAGCCUGCGACCCGGCUGCACGAAGCCGGAAUCGCUAGUAAUCGCAGAUCAGAAUGCUGCGGUGAAUACGUUCCCGGGUCUUGUACACACGCA